rnacentral:rRNA from 1 species
AUUCCAGCUCCAAUAGCGUAUAUUAAAGUUGUUGCGGUUAAAAAGCUCGUAGUUGGAUUUCUGCUGAGGACGACCGGUCCGCCCUCUGGGUGAGUAUCUGGCUCGGCCUUGGCAUCUUCUUGGGGAACGUAACUGCACUUGACUGUGUGGUGCGGUAUCCAGGACUUUUACUUUGAGGAAAUUAGAGUGUUUCAAGCAGGCUUACGCCUUGAAUACAUUAGCAUGGAAUAAUAAGAUAGGACUUUGGUGGUCUAUUUUGUUGGUUUGCACACCAAGGUAGUGAUUAAUAGGGACAGUUGGGGGUAUCCGUAUUUCGUAGUCAGAGGUGAAAUUCUUGGAUUUACGAAAGACGAACUACUGCGAAAGCAUUUACCAAGGAUGUUUUCAUCA